AUGCACAUCAUCAUCAUCUUCAGUGCAUCAUCACAACGACCACACAUCAUCACACGAGAACAACACAAAGAAAUUCACAACUACACAAAUUUGCAGAAAUGGAGUAGAAGAAGAAUAGAAGAAUCUUGGAUGCUUUGUUAUUACAUGUUUUUGUUAAAGUCUCUAGUUUUCUCUUUAUCUUCGAGCUCUUGUAGGAUUACCAUAAUGAUUCUCGGUUAUGCAGGUUGGUAG